rnacentral:rRNA from 1 species
GAUGAACGCUGGCGGCGUGCCUAAUACAUGCAAGUCGAGCGAACGGACGAGAAGCUUGCUUCUCUGAUGUUAGCGGCGGACGGGUGAGUAACACGUGGAUAACCUACCUAUAAGACUGGGAUAACUUCGGGAAACCGGAGCUAAUACCGGAUAAUAUUUUGAACCGCAUGGUUCAAAAGUAAAAGACGGUCUUGCUGUCACUUAUAGAUGGAUCCGCGCUGCAUUAGCUAGUUGGUAAGGUAACGGCUUACCAAGGCAACGAUGCAUAGCCGACCUGAGAGGGUGAUCGGCCCCACUGGAACUGAGACCCGGUCCCGACUCCUACGGGAGGCAGCCGUAGGGAAUCCUCCGCAAUGGGCGAAAGCCUGACGGAGCAACGCCGCGUGAGUGAUGAAGGUCUUCCGAUCGUAAAACUCUGUUAUUAGGGAAGAACAUAUGUGUAAGUAACUGUGCACAUCUUGACGGCACCUAAUCAGAAAGCCACGGCUAACUACGUG